ACAUCAGCCUGCCCCACAGAGCAAGCCGGAUGAAAGGGGGAAAACCCUCUGGGGCAGAGGAUACGGAACCUGGGCUGAAUCUAUUGCUUGGAGUCUGAGAAAGGAAAACCUUGGGCAGCCCAGAUCCUAGUUCCCACUGCAAGCAGCAAACACCAUUGGAUCUUCUGGCAUGGGUAUAGAUUUCCAGGGAGGAAGAAUGAAAAACAGGAAGAGUCAAGAAAGGAAGUUGAAAAGAGCCUGCGUUAUAGAGACGGCUGCUGCUGGGGAGACCGAUUACUUAAUCAUGGACUGAAGCCUUUGGAAGCCAUAUAAGCUACAACCCAGGACUGAUGAGGCUGGGUGUAGCAAGAAAGAGGAAAUCAUGCAACUACUGGCUCCCAUCACCAAUGGCCCAAAGGCCAGAUUCCAGAGGACGGUUACUGGGAAAAGUGGACAGAGUUGAUCUUCUCAUGGUUGUCUGAUCUCUCACGCCCAAUAAUGAAGAAAAUGGAGGGAAAUGGAUGGUGACCUCAGACUCAAUCUUUCCUUCUCACUUCUUCAAUAGGUGGAGUGUCCUGACUUUCCAGAGGCCCAUGUAAGGUCCCUGUACUUUGGUCCUUCUUCAGCCCAAGCCAGCAUGCAGACCUUCUUCAACAGCAGCUCCUGAGAAGAGGCCACUUCUGAAACCACUGUCACAUCAUCCCACACUCUUCCAUCCUACUUCUGAGUCACACUAGGCUCUUUCUAACCUUGCUCACCCUCCAUAAAAGAAAAAUGAUUUUUGCCUAACUCUUGAGAAGCUUGCAGAUCUUGCGGUCAGAGCAUUCCUCUUAUUCUAAUAGUCUUUCCCUGUACCCUUAUAAUGCUCCUUUCCAGUGAAGUCCCUCCCUUCCUGAGUCCUGAUGUGUUUUUUACUUGACAUGGCUGAGCAUGGGCACUGGUAGUUUUUUUUGUUUGUUGUUUUUUUGUUUGUUUGUUUGUUUGUUUGAGACUGAGUUUCACUCUUGUUGCCUGGGCUGGAGUGCAAUGGCGCAAUCUCAGCUCGCCACAACCUCCGCCUCCUGGGUUCAAGUGAUUUUCCAGGCUCAGCCUCCUGAGUAGCUGGGAUUACAGGCACCCGCCGUCAUGCCAGGCUAAUUUUUGUUUGUUUGUGUGUUUUGUUUUGUUUUGUAUUUUUGUAGAAAUGGGGUUUCACCAUGUUGGCCAGAGUUCUUAAACUUGACCAUGUACCAGAAUCCCCUGGAGGCCUUGUUAAAAAACACAGAUGUUGACCACUGCCCCAAAGGUUCAGAUUAACUAAGUCAUGGAGGACCCUGGCAUUUGCCUUUCUAACAACUUCCCAGGAGAGUCAGGCUGCUCAAUUGGCACCUCACCUUCAGAUUCACUGUAGAACCCAACAGAGAGAGGAAAGUGAUGGGGCAGCUGCUGGAACAUGCAGGAACAUGGAGACUUUAAUCUCAGGGAAAUGAGGAACCACAGAAGCAUGAAAACCAGCAAGCACUUAAUCACAUCUGCCUGUUUUGGAAAUCCCUCCAUCUAAAGCUUGGAGGACAAACUGGAAGGAACAGAAUCAUGGAAAGUAGCUUCCCAUGAGGAAGCUGCCUCAUGGUCCAGGUGGGAAAUGACAGUGGCUUGGCCUGAGGUGGGCAGUGCAGUGCCAGUGAUCGAAGAGAAGCAGAGAUUCAAGUGGUUUUUAAGCAGCAACAGGCAUGAGGCUCAGGGGCUGACUGGAGGUGGAGAAUGAGGAGGAGAAAGGAGUCACGUGUGAUCCUUAGCGUUCAGGUGAUAAAUGGUGUGCAUUAUGCCAGGAGGAAAGCCAAGAAGAGGAGAAGCUCAGGAGGAAAAGCUGAGGCUGUUGCUACCUGGAGUUUGGUCUGCUGGAGAAACCGGGAAUGAGGAUGGACAGUAGGCAAAAAGAAGGUUCUGGAGGGUCAGAGUUUGGUCCGGGCCGGUGAGUGGCUUAGAGACCAUCAGUGAAAUACAUAUGGCAAGUGAAGCCGUGGUAAUGGGUGAUGUCACACCAAAGAGAGGACAGAGUCAUAAGGAAAAAGAUGAAAAGCAGACAAAUAGAGGAGGGCCCUCCCGGGCCCAGACUAAUGCCAGCCUCAGUGCCUUUCUCAACACAGUCUCAUACUUUUCAUGCUCCCAUUUUCCUCAUAAUUUUACAGGACUCCGUUUUCUCUCCCCUACUAGAAUCUACCUGGAUAACUCUCCCAUUUAUUAGUAGUUUGUGCCAGCUUUUCCAGGCAGUGCUUAUUUUUCUUGGAAAAGGUAUUUGGCAAGAUAAACCAUAUUUAUUUGUGAAUGUUUAUUUUUUAAGCUAUAAAAAGAAAGUUGACCAAUAUGAGAAAUGUCUUCUCCCUCUGCUCUUUUCUUCUGGUGCCAUGCAACAGAUAGAAGAGUCAGAGUUGAAGGGCCAACCCAAGGAUGAAGGCACUGCCCGCCCGCCUGUGGUGGGCAUGUGGAUGAGGAAUCCGUGCCUGCACAUAGCACUCAAGAUCCACCACACUGACUUCUUUAAGGGAAAUAAAAUGGAGCUCUCUGCCCCAGAAAUUGUUCAUCAUAUGGUUGUGCAUAUUUAUAUAGAGACUGUUAUAUUUUUAGUUGGAAGAAGGUGGGUUUUUUUCUCAGUUUCUAUGGUAAAUUGCUUGUAAAGUUUGCAUUUGUAUAAUGAAAGUAAUAACACUGAAUCGGUCCAUUUGCCCAAGCAGGAAAUGCACCCUAUUGUCAGGUUUCGAAAUACAUGAACCUUUAAAAACAGAAGCCAUAUGAAUGGAAAAACAUGGAAUGCUUUUUUAAAAAAUGUAGUAUCCUCUGACAUGAAGUUAAAGUCCCCAGAUGCUCCCAACUGUACAGUUCCCUGGGGCAGUGGAUGUGCACUUAUUCUUCUUGGGGAAGUGGGGAGCAGGGCCCUUCCCGCAUGACUCAGCUCAUCUUAGACUUGUGCUGUCCGAUGGGGAACAAGCCGCACAUGGUUACUGAGCACUUGAGAUGCGGUGAGUCCACAUUGAGAUGUGCUGUAAAAGUCAAACCCACACUGGAUUUGGAAGAAUGUAAACUAUUUUUAUGUUGAUUUCAUGUGGAAUAAUAAUAAUUUUGAUAUAUUAAAUAUUAUCAAAUAGGUUAAAUAAA
ensembl:lncRNA novel transcript